GUUGUCUGAAGCCAGCUUGUCAUUCUCUCUUUCGUGAAGAUCUUACCAAGCUAAGGAGCAGAUGCUUGGGGCCCCGGGGAUUGGAGCAUGCGGGGCCUUACUGUGUUUGGUUGAGAAGAGGAGGAACAGGAUUUCUUCAAGCAGUGGGAGAUCUGCAGCCUCUUUAUUUAGCCCAGCCACCAAGUAAAGAAGUCCAGGCUACCUUUCUGGAGAAGCCACAUGGAGAAGAGAGGUCCUGGAGGUUGGGAGGCCACAUGGAGAACUGAGGCAUCCCAGCUGACAGCCAGCACCAACUGCCAGCCAUGUGAGCGUGCCUUAUUGGAAGUAGACCCUACAGCCCCAAUCAAAGCUUCAGAUGAUGCCUUGACUGACACCUUGACUACAACCUCAUGAGUCCCUGAGCCAGAACCAUCCAGCUAAACCACUCCCAAUCUGACCCACAGAAACUCUGAGAUAAUGUAUGUUUGUUGUUUUAAGCCACUAAGUUAUGGAAAACAAUAACUUAGCACAGCAAUCAAUGACAAAUUCAAUAGUUCCUAGAAGCCCAGAGAAAGUAAUGGUCCAUGCUGAACAACAUAGGAAUGCCUGAUUUGCCCCUGAAAGAUAGUAGAGAAAGAAAUAAAGAAGUUGAAGGAAGUGAGAAAGCUGGAAUGGAUACAUUAUGUGAGGCCAGAGGAUCAUGCUCUAUGAGAGGCCUCAGAGCACACACCAUCAACCAAGGCUAUCAGGGGUACCAUCACCAUGAAGAGGUCCAGUGGUAAUUCUCCUCUCCAGGCCAGAGAGGUGGUCACAGGGCUGGGCUGGUUAGUAUCCACAGGGAUGUCUCCUCAUUCUCAAGUAACAGAGGCCAGGUACAUUAGGCAUCAGAAGCCAGCUCUGGCAGCUUUUACCAUAAUGACUGGCAAGUUUGAAGCGGCAGCUAAAAGAGCUUCAUGGAGUUGUGGCAGUGACUGAUAGAGCGUGGCACUCCUAGGAGCAAGAUAGAUGGGCAGCCUACAAGGUGAUGCUUAACCUCUAUAAUUCCCCCAAUCCCCAAAAAAAGCAAGACUGAAGGAGCAGGAGACUGAGGGAAAUUACCCCAAUAUGAAGUCAUGGGGCCGGGCGCGGUGGCUCACGCCUGUAAUCCCAGCACUUUGGGAGACCGAGGUGGGCAGAUCACCUGAGGUCAGGAGUUCAAGACUGGCCUGGCCAACAUGGCUAAAUCCUAUCUCUACCAAAAAUAUAAAAAAUUAGCCGGGCGUGGUGGCAUGCAUCCGUAAUCCCAGCUACUCGGGAGGCUGAGGCAGGAGAAUCACUUGAACCCAGGAGGCAGAGGCUGCAGUGAGCCAAGAUCCUGCGACUGCACUCCAGCCUGGGUGACAGAGCAACACUCUAUCUCAAUAAACAAAUAAAUAAAUCUGGACUCUUACUCAGUUCCUGAACCAGUGUCAGUUUUCAGAUCCAGAACCAGUUGACUGAAGGGGUGAAUUAGUCCUUAAAAGAAAGGAUCUGGAAAGGCUAUGGGAGGUAUAUACUAGAAUAUUUACUUAGGUUAUUGUACACUAAGAAAAGGGGAUACCCAGAUAUUUAAAACACUUCUAGAUAGAUCUGAAGUGACGUUGAUGCCCAGAGACCCAAAGGAUGCGCACAGUCCCCUUGUUAAAGAGGGGGCUUACAAAUAUUAGGAUAUGAAUGUACUCAUGGCUAAAAUCUAGUUCAUGGAAGGUCUCCUGGAUCUGUUAAACCACAAUAUGAUCAUUUCCCCAGUCCCUGAGUGUGAAACUGGGAUUGACAAGCUUAGCAGUUGGUAUGGCAUCCACAUUGGCUCCUCGGCCUGUGAGGUAAGAAUGAUGGUAGUAGAGACGGUCAAGUGGAAUCCUCUGAAGCUACCUGCUCCUUCCUGGCUAAGAGAGUAAAUAAAAAAUACUAUGUCCUAGAAGGAUGGAGACAAUUAGCAUCACCAUUAAAAACCUAAGG
rnacentral:lncRNA from 1 species